ACGUAUUAAAAAAAAACUACUUACUAGAUCUCGUUCAAACCAAUUUUCGGUGGAAGUUUACAUGGUAAUGUACAUCAUAUAUUUUUUUUAGUUUUAUCAUUCUCUUAUUUUAGAAGUUACAGGGGGGGGGGACACAUUUUACCAGUUUGGAAGUGUCUCUCGCGCAAACUAUUCAGUUUAGAAAAAAAAUAUAUUAGAAACCUCAAUAUCAUUUUUGAAGACCUAUCCAUAGAUACCCCACACGUAUGGGUUUGAUGAAAAAAAAAUUUUGAGUUUCAGCGAUUUAUGACGUAUAAAAAAAACUACUUACUAGAUCUCGUUCAAACCAAUUUUCGGUGGAAGUUUACAUGGCAAUGUACAUCAUAUAUUUUUUUUAGUUUUAUCAUUCUCUUAUUUUAGAAGUUACAGGGGGGGGGACACACAUUUUACCACUUUGGAAGUACCUAUCCAUAGAUACCACACACGUAUGGGUUGGAUGAAAAAAAAAUUUUUGAGUUUCAGUUCGAAGUAUGGGGAACCCCAAAAAUUUAUUGUUUUUUUUCUAUUUUUGUGUGAAAAUCUUAAUGCGGUUCACAGAAUACAUCUACUUACCAAGUUUCAACAGUAUAGUUCUUAUAGUUUCGGAGAAAAGUGGCUGUGA